GACGAACGCUGGCGGCGUGCUUAACACAUGCAGGUCGAACGGUAAGGCCUUUCGGGGUACACGAGUGGCGAACGGGUGAGUAACACGUGGGUGAUCUGCCCUGCACUUCGGGAUAAGCCCGGGAAACUGGGUCUAAUACCGGAUAGGACUGCGCGGUGCAUGCCGUGUGGUGGAAAGAUUUAUCGGUGCAGGAUGGGCCCGCGGCCUAUCAGCUUGUUGGUGGGGUAAUGGCCUACCAAGGCGACGACGGGUAGCCGGCCUGAGAGGGCGACCGGCCACACUGGGACUGAGACACGGCCCAGACUCCUACGGGAGGCAGCAGUGGGGAAUAUUGCACAAUGGGCGCAAGCCUGAUGCAGCGACGCCGCGUGAGGGAUGACGGCCUUCGGGUUGUAAACCUCUUUCAGCAGGGACGAAGCGUGAGUGACGGUACCUGCAGAAGAAGCACCGGCCAACUACGUG
rnacentral:rRNA from 1 species